rnacentral:rRNA from 1 species
AACGCUGGCGGCGUGCCUAAUACAUGCAAGUCGACGCACUGGGCCCAACUGAUGAUGGGCUGCACCGGAUUGACUAUGGAUCCCAGUGAGUGCGACGGGUGAGUCACACGUGGGUACCUGCCCCAGAACGGGGAUCACCACUUGGAAACAGAUGCUAAUACCGCAUCACCACAAGAGCCACAGGGCUCGUGUUUGAAAAGCGGCUUUGGCUAUCGCUUUGGGAUGGACCUGCGGUGCAUUAGCUAGUUGGUAAGGUAACGGCUUACCAAGGCGAUGAUGCAUAGCCGAGUUGAGAGACUGAUCGGCCACAAUGGGACUGAGACACGGCCCAUACUCCUACGGGAGGCAGCAGUAGGGAAUCUUCCACAAUGGGCCGCAAGCCUGAUGGAGUAACGCCGCGUGAGUGAAGAAGCGUUUCGAGUCGUAAAGCUCUGUUGGUGAUGAAGAAGGAUAGAGGCAGUACUGGGCUUAUUUGACGGUAUCACCAGAAAGUCACGGCUAACUA